CUCCCGUCUGUUUCAUUGAAAGUAACUUCAUUCCUUCACAGUUCAAAUGAGCGUGAUCUUGCAAGGCCAAUGGCAAUGGCGUCGUUUGAAAGCCAUGUGAUGCAAAUUGCAAGACCGAUCGUACGUUUUUGUUCUCUAUAAUUUACGGUUUUCGCUCGUUUGUUCCUUCUCCAUUCUGGUUCGUCGAUUUCUUUCGUUUAAUUAUUGCUCUUCCUCCUCAAUUUGAUAAUCGUAUUGGCAGUUGGAUUGAACUCUUCGUCGAAUGUAUGAGACUCUGAAUUGAUCCCCUCCGCUUUUCUCCUGGCACAUUAUUCCACUCGCUGCUUUCAGAUUCAAGCAUGGCUCAACAGGAAGAUAGAUGGCCGUUAGGCUUGCAGCUAAUGAACGCCAGAGUUGGAUUGGCGGAAAUCAUCAUGAUCUCUCUGCUUUGUUUUCUUUCAAUACUUUGCGAACUCAUUCUCCUAGCUCCUUCACCGAUUCUUCCUCGGAUCUUGAUACAGAGAUCCCAACGACUACUCGCCUAUUCGUCCUGCUUCUCAAACAAACUCUUUGUUUUCCAAUGAUCAAGUAGCUCCAGUGUUGUUUGGACCGGUUGCCGAAGAGAAAAUCAGAAGAUCAGAUGGAGAACUUGUCCAGGAUGGAGAUUUACUUAUCAUUAUCAUCAUUCAGCGAUCGUGUUUGGGGCAGACAAAUCGAGGCAUUCGUCGUUGCUGCAACAUUCAGUCUGUUUACUGCCAAGU